rnacentral:rRNA from 1 species
CAAUAGCGUAUAUUAAAGUUGUUGCAGUUAAAAAGCUCGUAGUUGGAUUUCGGGGUGGCCUGGCUGGUCCGCCGCAAGGUGAGUACUGGUCAGCCGCCCUUCCUCUCGAAAGCCCCGACUGCUCUUUACUGCAGUGGUCGGGUAGUUCGGGACGUUUACUUUGAAAAAAUUAGAGUGUUCAAGGCAGGCUAUCGCCUGAAUACAUUAGCAUGGAAUAAUGGAAGAGGACCUCGGUCCUAUUUUGUUGGUUUCUAGGGCCGAAGUAAUGAUUAAGAGGGACAGUUGGGGGCAUUCGUAUUUAAUUGUCAGAGGUGAAAUUCUUGGAUUUAUGAAAGACGAACUACUGCGAAAGCAUUUGCCAAGGAUGUUUUCAUUAA